rnacentral:lncRNA from 1 species
GUGGUGACGUCUUUCUCUUCACCGCCGCCUAUCUUCUUCCUCCCUGGAGCUGAUCCUCACCUUUCUUCUUCCAAUGGACGCCUCGCGAUUCCUUCCUCUUCUCUCGCGUAAGCCUUUCUCACAAAUCUCUUUUUGAAUUUGACGUUGCGUAUUUAGUGUUCUUGUAAUUUUCGCAAUCCGUGUUCUGGGUUUGUGAUUUCUGUUGCUACUUAUCACUAAAUUCUCUGUUUUUUCUUCUUAACUUCUGAAACCAGAACUUCGCAAUCCGUGUUCUAGCGUAAUUGCCACCAGUCUCCAAUUGUGUGACUUGAUUUCUUCUCUGUUGUAUCUAUGGUUUUUAUUAU